AUACGUAGGGAGCGAGCGUUGUCCGGAAUUACUGGGCGUAAAGGGCGCGUAGGCGGCGCUUCAAGUCGUCUGUCAAAUGGGAGGGCUUAACCCUUUUUCGCAGGCGAAACUGGAGAGCUUGAGAAGCAGAGAGGCAAACAGAAUUCCUGGUGUAGCGGUGAAAUGCGUAGAUAUCAGGAAGAAUACCAGUGGCGAAGGCGGUUUGCUGGCUGCAUACUGACGCUGAAGCGCGAAAGCCAGGGGAGCAAACGGGAUUAGAUACCCCGGUAGUCCUGGCAGUAAACGAUGUAUGCUGGGUGUGAGACUAGCGAUAGUUUCGUGCCGAAGUUAACGCGAUAAGCAUACCGCCUGGGGAGUACGGUCGCAAGAUUGAAACUCAAAUGAAUUGACGGGG
rnacentral:rRNA from 1 species